CCCUAUGGGGUGCAGCCGGCUGGUGCUAUUAAAUUAGGGGACCUUGUCCUCGUAUAUUUUGAUGAUGAGCGCACGUAUAUGAUCGAUGUGACGCCCGGCAAGCGCGUCUCCAUCCAUUGUGGAAAACCGCUUUCCGUAGAUGAGUGGAUCGGCCAGCCCUUCGGUAAAAAGAUCAUUUGCGAACACGGCUUUUGCUAUCUCCUCAAGCCCACGAUGGAGGACCUUAUGAUGAAGGCCUCGCGCGAAAGCGGCAUUAUUUAUCCGAAGGAUGCGGCGCUUCUCAUCAUGAAAGCCGGCAUCCAUAGCGGUUCGAAAGUGAUGGAGAUCGGUACCGGAUCUGGCUCUCUUACCAUGGCACUGGCACAGGCCGUGGCGCCGUCCGGACAUGGCUUCUCCUAUGAUUGGCGGGGGAGC
rnacentral:rRNA from 1 species